GUUUGAUCCUGGCUCAGAGCGAACGUUAGCGGCGGGCUUAACACAUGCAAGUCGAGCGAGAAAGGGGCUUCGGCCCUGAGUACAGCGGCGGACGGGUGAAUAACACGUAGGUAACCUUCCUUUCAGCGGGGGACAACGGUCCGAAAGGACCGCUAAUACCGCAUACGUUCCCUAGGACCUCGGUCCUGGGGAGGAAAGGCCCGCAAGGGCCACUGGAUGAGGGGCCUGCGUAGCAUCAGCUAGUUGGUGGGGUAAUGGCCUACCAAGGCGAAGACGCUUAGCUGGUCUGAGAGGAUGAUCAGCCACACUGGGACUGAGACACGGCCCAGACUCCUACGGGAGGCAGCAGUGGGGAAUAUUGGUACAAAUGGGCGCAAGCCUGAUCCAGCCAACGCCGCGUGAGUGAUGAAGGCCUCGGUCGUAA
rnacentral:rRNA from 1 species